rnacentral:rRNA from 1 species
ACGCUCGACACCUACGGGAGUCAGCAGUAGGGAAUCUUCCACAAUGGGCGCAAGCCUGAUGGAGCAACACCGCGUGAGUGAAGAAGGGUUUCGGCUCGUAAAGCUCUGUUGUUGGAGAAGAACGUGCGUGAGAGUAACUGUUCACGCAGUGACGGUAUCCAACCAGAAAGUCACGGCUAACUACGNGCCAGCAGCCGCGGUAAUCUGAGGCGGGCUGGCAAGGC